GACGAAGGGGGCUAGCGUUGUUCGGAAUUACUGGGCGUAAAGCGCGUGUAGGCGGUUGUCCAAGUCGGGUGUGAGAGCCUUGAGCUCAACUCGAGAAAUGCACUCGAUACUGGGCGACUAGAGUGCCGGAGAGGAUAGUGGAAUUCCCAGUGUAGUGGUGAAAUACGUAGAGAUUGGGAAGAACACCAGUGGCGAAGGCGGCUAUCUGGACGGUUACUGACGCUAAGACGCGAAAGCGUGGGGAGCAAACAGG
rnacentral:rRNA from 1 species